rnacentral:rRNA from 1 species
GAGCGAGAAAAGGGGGGCAACUCCCUGAGUAAAGCGGCGCACGGGUGAGUAACACGUGGGUAAUCUGCCCUGGAGUGGGGAAUAACACCGGGAAACCGGUGCUAAUACCGCAUACGAUAGCGGAGUCUGCGGAUUUCGUUAUGAAAGGAGCAAUUCGCUCUAGGAGGAGCCCGCGGCUGAUUAGCUAGUUGGUGGGGUAAUGGCCCACCAAGGCUACGAUCAGUAUCCGGUCUGAGAGGACGGUCGGACACACUGGAACUGAGACACGGUCCAGACUCCUACGGGAGGCAGCAGUGGGGAAUUUUGCGCAAUGGGGGAAACCCUGACGCAGCAACGCCGCGUGGAGGAUGAAGUCCCUNUGGGAUGUAAACUCCUUUCGACCGGGACGAUACUGACGGUACCGGUGGAAGAAGCACCGGCUAACUCUGUG